UAAAUCAUUCUUAUCUUUAAACUAAAAAUGUAUUUUGAUAUGCAAAAUGUCUGUAUGAUUUCAGUUGCCAGAGGUGAGUACCAUAACAGUUGAAAAGUUAGUUUUGUUUAGUUAAAGUUUUGGUUCACAGUUCUGUUUGUUAUUUGGCAAAAUUUACAUGUAUGCAUUGAGUCUUGAUUUCAGCUCGAUUGUGGACUGAAGAAGAUUGUCCGCAGAGGGAUUGGAUACAAAAUACAAAGUAAGUACUGAGUUUCUUACUAAAAGUUUUGAGUUGUAUUCAUUGUGUGUUAAUAUGCUAUGAUUGCUAUGAACAUGACUUUUGUAUUUCAGCGAAGACAACAUAGGUAAGUAAAAUUGUUAUCUGUUUCAUGUUUACUGUUACAGUUCAAUAUUGUGUUUAUAAAUUGUAAGUUGUACAAACACAUUCAAAAGUUUCUGAUCAUGCUUUCGAUUUCAUUUCAGCUUUACUGCUGGACGAGUGUUCUCUACUACUAGACGUGUCAGGUUUACUACCAGGCGAGCAGUGACAACAAGGCGCCUUUGUGGAAACAACACAACAAAAAACUGUACUGCUAGACGAGCAGUGACAGAAAGGCGCCUGAACAUGCAACACAAAACAAAAAAUGCCAAUAUCCAAACCUUGAUGUGGACACCGAGUAGUCAAUACAUACGUGUGGCGUACAGCUGCGACAAAACCGUGGGUCCAUCGCACCGAUAACUUGAACAUUGGCCCGUGUAUGGACAUCAGUGCAACUUUGUGAAUCCAUGUAACUUUGUGAAUCCAUGUAACAUUGCGAAUGUGUGUCGAUCGAAAAAUGUGUACAUUCUGCACUGAAACGAACUCGGUGUUGCAAGUGGCAAGUGUUGACAGUGUGUAUGUUUAUGUUUAUGUUUUUACAUGAAAAAUAAAGGAGAUUGUUCUCCUACCUUUUUUUUCCUUGUUUUAUUGUGCUGGCCAGCAAUAUUGAUGUAUUGAUGUAUUGAUGUAUGUGUUUGUGUAUUAACGAUGUAUUAACUAUGCAUUACCAAAAUCAAACAAAACUUUGGCACAAGAGACUCUAAGUAUCAAAUACCAACAAUUUAAGCGCAGACAAUCACAUGGUGGUACACCAGUCCGAAUAUACUCAUUGCUCUAGCCAGGAUUGCAAAUUACUUGUGUUGACUAGCAAGGCUCCCUAGUAACGGAGCAGUGUUACUGGCGUUUUUUGGGUCGAUAGUGCUUAGGUGAGGUUUUGCUCGAAUCGGGAGCGGGUCACUCGCUUUGGCGAGUUAGUUUUCGCUCGUAGUUUCCAAUCUGGCUAGAUCAAUGUAAGGUUGUCGUUGACUGCUAUUUGGCAAGCAGAAAGACAACAGCGGUUAAUUAACUGAGUAUGGGCGACCGAGGUAUGUAGGUGUCAAUAGACCGACUCCACAAGUUGCGAAGCGAACCGAUAGCACUUGAGGGGAAACGCCUCGGUUUUCG